rnacentral:rRNA from 1 species
AGUUGGGGGCAUUAAUAUUUAAUUGUCAGAGGUGAAAUUCUUGGAUUUAUGAAAGAUUAACUUCUGCGAAAGCAUCUGCCAAGGAUGUUUUCAUUAAUCAAGAACGAAAGUUAGGGGAUCGAAGACGAUCAGAUACCGUCGUAGUCUUAACCAUAAACGAUGCCGACCAGCGAUUAGGAGACGUUGAAUACAAAACACCACCAUCGGUGCGGUCGUUCUUGGCGUCGGUCUUUCGGCCGGCGCGGGAGCGGCUUAGCCCGGUGGCACCGGUGAAGCACUCCCCUAGCAGCUUGUGAGAAAUCAUAAGUCUUUGGGUUCCGGGGGGAGUAUGGUCGCAAGGCUGAAACUUAAAGGAAUUGACGGAAGGGCACCACCAGGAGUGGAGCCUGCGGC